CCCUUAGAUGUUCUGGGCCGCACGCGUGCUACACUGAGUGGAUCAGCGGGUCCGGUUGCGCGAAAGCGUUUCCUAAUCUUUAAAUCCGCUCGUGAUGGGGAUUGACGGUUGCAAUUUUCUGUCAUGAACGAGGAAUACCUUGUAAGCGCGGGUCAUCAUCCCGCGCUGAAUACGUCCCUGCCCUUUGUACACACCGCCCGUCGCUCCUACCGAUUGAGUGGUCCGGUGAGGCUUUGGGAUCUGAGCGGAAAGAGCGUUUCGCUGUUUCUGCUCGGAAAACUCAGUCGAACCUUAUCAUUUAGAGGAAGGAGAAGUCGUAACA
rnacentral:rRNA from 1 species